rnacentral:rRNA from 1 species
CUGAACUCAAAUCAGGUAAGAUUACCCGCUGAAUUUAAGCAUAUUAAUAAGCGGAGGAAAAGAAACUAACAAGGAUUCCCUUAGUAACGGCGAGUGAAGCGGGAACAGCUCAAGCUUGAAAUCGACACUUGGUAAACAUAUGUCGAGUUGUAGCUUUUGGAAGCAGUUUUAAGCUACUGGUUGUGGUAAAAGUUCUUUUGAAUAAGACAUCAAAGAGGGUGAGAAUCCCGUCAUUGACCGCGAUUUAAGUAGUGAUGUAAACUGUUUUCUGUGAGUCGGGUUGUUUGGGAAUGCAGCCCUAAUUGGGAGGUAAAUUUCUUCCAAAGCUAAAUAUUAGUAAGAGACCGAUAGUAAACAAGUACCGUGAGGGAAAGAUGAAAAGCACUUUGAAAAGAGAGUGAAAAGUACGUGAAAUUGUUAAAAGGGAACCGGUUGGUAGCCAAGCAUUUCUUGGUGUUAGGGCAUUUAUGUCAGAGCGCCAGGAGGGUCAACAUCGAUUGCUAUUAACUGCCAGAAAGGAAAUUUUGCAAGCUAGCGAAGUAAGGUAGGGAGGCGAGUUUCUGCAUCAUUCGUGAAGUAGUAUUAUGGCUUGCUUUCUGUUAUAGACUUCAUAGGUUUGCUUUUUACGCCUAGUGGUGGUGGUGAUCGAGGACUGCAGCGCGUUUUGAGAAGUUUACUUCUUAAUGGCUUAAUUGUUUUAAAGCAUUGUGGUUGCGUUAUGGUAGACAGCAUGCUGACUGCUAUGGGUAGGCUAUAUGAUUUAGGGCAUUUAAGAUUAAUUAGCGCUUUGGAUGUUGGCGAAAAGGCACUAAUCGACCCGUCUUGAAACACGGACCAAGGAGUCCAACAUACAUGCAAGUAUCUGGGAAUUUUAAACCCAUAUGCGCAAUGAAAGUGAACUAGUAGAAACUUUUAUUAGAAUGUAACCUUGAGUAAAAUCUUGGGCAGCAUCGACCGACUUUAGAUAGCGUUGCUUGAAAAGGUUGAGUAAGAGCAUGUAUGCUGGGACCCGAAAGAUGGUGAACUAUGCCUGAAUAGGGUGAAGUCAGAGGAAACUCCUGAUGGAAGGCUCGUAGAGAUUCUGACGUGCAAAUGCGAUCUCCCAAAUUUUGGGUAUAGGGG